UACGGAGGGUGCGAGCGUUAAUCGGAAUUACUGGGCGUAAAGGGUGCGUAGGUGGUUAAUUAAGUUAUCUGUGAAAUUCCUGGGCUCAACCUGGGGUGGUCAGAUAAUACUGGUUGACUUGAGUAUGGUAGAGGGUAGUGGAAUUUCCGGUGUAGCGGUGAAAUGCGUAGAGAUCGGAAAGAACACCAGUGGCGAAGGCGGCUACCUGGACUAAUACUGACAAUGAGGCAAGAAAGCGUGGGGAGCAAACAGG
rnacentral:rRNA from 1 species